UCCGGUUUGUCACCGGCAGUCAUCUUAGAGUGCCCACCCAAGGUGCUGGCAACUAAGAUCAAGGGUUGCGCUCGUUGCGGGACUUAACCCAACAUCUCACGACACGAGCUGACGACAACCAUGCACCACCUGUCUCCUCUGUCCCGAAGGAAGGGUCGAUCUCUAGACCGGUCAGAGGGAUGUCAAGACCUGGUAAGGUUCUUCGCGUUGCUUCGAAUUAAACCACAUACUCCACUGCUUGUGCGGGUCCCCGUCAAUUCCUUUGAGUUUUAGCCUUGCGGCCGUACUCCCCAGGCGGGGCACUUAAUGCGUUAGCUACGGCACGGGAGGAGUCGACACCUCCCACACCUAGUGCCCAUCGUUUACAGCGUGGACUAC
rnacentral:misc_RNA from 1 species